GACGAACCGUGCGAACGUUGUUCGGAAUCACUGGGCAUAAAGGGCGCGUAGGCGGCUUUUCAAGUCAGGGGUGAAAUCCGGCAGCUUAACUGUCGAAGUGCCUUUGAUACUGGGAAGCUCGAGGGAGGUAGGGGUCUGUGGAACUUCCGGUGGAGCGGUGAAAUGCGUUGAUAUCGGAAGGAACGCCGGUGGCGAAAGCGACGGACUGGACCUCUUCUGACGCUGAGGCGCGAAAGCCAGGGGAGCAAACGGG
rnacentral:rRNA from 1 species